rnacentral:rRNA from 1 species
GUCUUUUCUGUGAAGCCGGGGCGUGAGCCAUCCGGUGGAGAGAUCACUAGCGAGAAUGAUGACAUGAGUAGCGACAAAGAGUGUGAGAGACACUCUCGCCGAAAGUCCAAGGGUUCCUGCUUAAAGCUAAUCUGAGCAGGGUAAGCCGGCCCCUAAGCCGAGGCAGAAAUGCGUAGGCGAUGGGAACCAGGUUAAUAUUCCUGGGCCAGGAGAUGGUGACGGAUUGCAGGGGUAGUCAGGCCUUAUCGGAUUGGUCUGGCUGCUGAGCAGUUCCUGGAAAUAGCCCUCCACAGGACCGUACCCUAAACCGACACAGGUGGACUGGUAGAGAAUACCAAGGCGCUUGAGAGAACGAUGUUGAAGGAACUCGGCAAAAUACCUCCGUAAGUUCGCGAGAAGGAGGCCCGGUUUCCAGGCAACUGGAGGCUGGGGGCACAAACCAGGGGGUGGCGACUGUUUACUAAAAACACAGGGCUCUGCGAAGUCGCAAGACGACGUAUAGGGUCUGACGCCUGCCCGGUGCCGGAAGGUUAAAAGGAGGGGUGAGAGCUCCGAAUUGAAGCCCCGGUAAACGGCGGCCGUAACUAUAACGGUCCUAAGGUAGCGAAAUUCCUUGUCGGGUAAGUUCCGACCUGCACGAAUGGCGUAACGACUUCCCCGCUGUCUCCAACAUCGACUCAGCGAAAUUGAAUUGCCUGUCAAGAUGCAGGCUUCCCGCGGUUAGACGGAAAGACCCCGUGCACCUUUACUACAGCUUCGCACUGGCAUCAGGCCAUGCAUGUGCAGGAUAGGUGGUGGGCUUCGAAGCAGGGACGCCAGUUCCUGUGGAGCCUCCCUUGAGAUACCACCCUUGCAUUGCUUGAUGUCUAACCGCGGUCCGUUACCCGGAUCCGGGACCCUGCGUGGCGGGUAGUUUGACUGGGGCGGUCGCCUCCUAAAGAGUAACGGAGGCGCGCGAAGGUUGGCUCAGAGCGGUCGGAAAUCGCUCGUUGAGUGCAAUGGCAGAAGCCAGCCUGACUGCAAGACUGACAAGUCGAGCAGAGACGAAAGUCGGCCAUAGUGAUCCGGUGGUCCCGCGUGGAAGGGCCAUCGCUCAACGGAUAAAAGGUACGCCGGGGAUAACAGGCUGAUACUGCCCAAGAGUCCAUAUCGACGGCAGUGUUUGGCACCUCGAUGUCGGCUCAUCUCAUCCUGGGGCUGGAGCAGGUCCCAAGGGUACGGCUGUUCGCCGUUUAAAGAGGUACGUGAGCUGGGUUUAGAACGUCGUGAGACAGUUCGGUCCCUAUCUGCCGUGGGUGUAGGAUACUUGAGAGGAGUUGCCCCUAGUACGAGAGGACCGGGGUGAACGAUCCACUGGUGGACCUGUUGUCGUGCCAACGGCAGUGCAGGGUAGCUAUGAUCGGAAAGGAUAACCGCUGAAGGCAUCUAAGCGGGAAGCCCCCCUCAAAACAAGGUAUCCCCGAGGGCCGUGGAAGACCACCACGUCGAUAGGCCGGAGGUGUAAGCGCAGCAAUGCGUUCAGCUGACCGGUACUAAUGGCCCGACAGGCUUGAUUUGAAAUCAAGCGCGAGAAGGGCGUUUGGUGAAUGCCUUGGCAGCAAGAGGCGAUGAAGGACGUGAUACUCUGCGAUAAGCUUGGGGGAGCCGAGAAUAGGCUUUGAUCCCAGGAUCUCCGAAUGGGGCAACCCACCUGAAUGUUUAUUGUUGUCCUGCCACUUCGUUACUUGAGGACCUGUGUCCGAGAGAGCGUGUGGUGGGUUCAUCAAUAAGCAGAAACAGGUACUUCUUACCUGAAUACAUAGGGUUUGAAGAGCGAACCCGGGGAACUGAAACAUCUAAGUACCCGGAGGAAAGGACAUCAACAGAUACUCCCCUAGUAGCGGCGAGCGAACGGGGACCAGCCGAGCCGUGAAUGUGACCAGAACAAUCUGGAAAGGUUGACCAUAGUGGGUGACAGUCCCGUAUGGGAAGCAUGAUCGGACGUAUUAAGUAGGGCGGGACACGUGAAAUCCUGUCUGAAGAUCGGGGGACCACCCUCGAAGGCUAAGUACUCCUUGCUGACCGAUAGCGAACCAGUACCGUGAGGGAAAGGUGAAAAGCACCCCGACGAGGGGAGUGAAACAGUACCUGAAACCGAACGCCUACAAUCAGUCGGAGCCCCCUUGCGGGGUGACGGCGUACCUUUUGUAUAAUGGGUCAUCGACUUGGUCUCACGAGCAAGCUUAAGCCGAUAGGUGUAGGCGCAGCGAAAGCGAGUCUUAAUAGGGCGUAUGAGUUCGUGGGAUCAGACCCGAAACCGAGUGAUCUAGGCAUGGCCAGGCUGAAGGUUGGGUAACACCAACUGGAGGGCCGAACCCACAUCCGUUGAAAAGGAUCGGGAUGAGCUGUGCCUAGGGGUGAAAGGCCAAUCAAACUCGGAGAUAGCUGGUUCUCCGCGAAAUCUAUUUAGGUAGAGCGUCAUCCGAAUACCCCGGGGGGUAGAGCACUGGAUGGGUAAUGGGGCCCCACAGGCUUACUGAUCCUAACCAAACUCCGAAUACCCGGGAGUACUAGAUGGCAGACACACGGCGGAUGCUAACGUCCGUCGUGGAGAGGGAAACAACCCUGACCCUCAGCUAAGGCCCCCAAUUCAUGGCUAAGUGGGAAAGCAGGUGAGACGGCCAAAACAACCAGGAGGUUGGCUUAGAAGCAGCCAUCCUUUAAAGAUAGCGUAACAGCUCACUGGUCUAAAUAAGCUGUCUUGCGGCGAAGAUGUAACGGGGCUCAAGCCAUGAGCCGAAGCUAGGGAUGCACAUAGUGCAUGGUAGCGGAGCGUAGUGUGACAUAGA